CAGAGCGUAGCUAAAUAGCAUAGCAUCUCCCUUACACUGAGAAGACGCCCGUGCAAAUCGGGCCGCCCUGA
rnacentral:tRNA from 1 species